rnacentral:rRNA from 1 species
CAGUAGCCACGGGAAUACGAAGGGGGCUAGCGUUGCUCGGAAUGACUGGGCGUAAAGGGCGCGUAGGCGGCGGCCAAAGUCAGGCGUGAAAUUCCCGGGCUCAACCUGGGGGCUGCGUUUGAUACUUGGUUGCUUGAGUGGGGAAGAGGGUCGUGGAAUUCCCAGUGUAGAGGUGAAAUUCGUAGAUAUUGGGAAGAACACCGGUGGCGAAGGCGGCGACCUGGUCCUUUACUGACGCUGAGGCGCGAAAGCGUGGGGAGCAAACAGGAUUAGAUACCCGAGUAGUCCCUGUCUCUUAUAC